UCGCCUGUUUUUCAAAAACAUUGCUUUAAAAAUAAUUUAAAGUAAAACCUGCCCAAUGAAAAUUAAAUGGCCGCAGUAAUUUAACUGUGCUAAGGUAGCAUAAUCAUUAGUCUUUUAAUUAAAGACUGGAAUGAAUGGUUUAACAUUUCUUAAACUAUUUAUUAAAUAACCAUAAAACCUAUAUUAAAUAUAAAAAUAUAUUUAUAUAUUAAUUAGACGACAAGACCCUAUCAAACUUUACUUUAGUUUAGCUGGGGAGGCUUAUUAAUAAUUAUCUUAAGACAAACUUAUAAAUAGACCCAAUAAAAUUUGAUUAAAUGAACAAGUUACUGUAGGGAUAACAGCAUAAUGAAUUUUAAAAGUUCAUAUUUAAAAAUUAGUUUAUGACCUCGAUGUUGAAUUAUUUAAACUUUUAGACGCAAGAGUCUUAAAAGUAGGUCUGUUCGACCCUUAAAUUUUUACAUGAUCUGAGUUCAAACCGGA
rnacentral:rRNA from 1 species